rnacentral:rRNA from 1 species
CCAUUGAUUUGGUUGGUGCGAGGAACCUGAUCGUUUACUUUGAAAAAAUUAGAGUGUUUAAGGCAGGCAUCAUUGUCGUUGAAUAGUUCAGCAUGGAAUAAUAAGAUAGGGCUUCGGCACCACCGGUGUGUUGGUGAUUUUGUUGAUGUUGUUUGUCGCGGGUUGGUACCUUUAAUACUUCUCUUUUGGGAAGUUCCCUGAGUUAUUACUCGUGUACGCAGCUGAUCGCAUCGACUGCCGUGCGGGUUUCUCUAUUUUGUUGGUUUCUAGAGCCGAAGUAAUGAUUGAUAGGGAUAGUUGGGGGUGCUAGUAUUGCAAGGCCAGAGGUGAAAUUCGUGGAUUCUUGCAGGACUAACUUCUGCGAAAGCAUUCACCAAGGAUAUUCCCUUUAAUCAAGAACGAAAGUUGGAGGAUCGAAGACGAUCAGAUACCGUCGUAGUCCCAACCAUAAACGAUGCCAUCUAGGGAUUGGGGAAUGUUGAGUAAGACGUCCUCAGCACCUUAUUUGAGAAA